AAGGGUUGUGUUUAUUAGUUACAGAACCAACACAGGCUCUGCCUGGCGUGUUGAUGAUUCAUAAUAACCGAUCGAAUCGCAUGGCAUCCGCCGGCGAUGACCCAUUCAAGUUUCUGACCGAUCAGCUUCCGACGGUAGGAUAUGGGCUUACCGUGGCAAUGACGGGUAACGGAGAACUGGGGCUCGAUUCCGGAGAGGGAGCCUGAGAAACGGCUACCACAUCUAAGGAAAGCAGCAGGCGCGCAAAUUACCCAAUCCUGACACAGGGAGGUCGUGACAAGAAAUAACAAUACAAGGCAUCCAUGUCUUGUAAUUGGAAUGGGUAGAAUUCAAAUCCCUUUACGAGUAUCGAUUGGAGGGCAAGUCUGGUGCCAACAGCCGCGGUAAUUCCAGCUCCAAUAGCGUAUAUUACAGUUGCUGCGGUUAAAACGCUCGUAGCUGGAUUCCUGCCGAGGACAACCGGUCCGCCCGCUGGGUGAGCAUCUGGUUUGGUUUUGGCAUCUUCCUGGACAACGCAGCUGCACUUGACUGUGUGGUGCCGGGCCCAGGACUUUUACGUUGAGGAAAUAAGCGUGUUUCAAGCAGGCAUGCGCCUUGAAUACAUGAGCAUGGAAUAAUAAGACAGGAUAUCGGUUCUAUUGUGUUGGUUUCUAGAGCUGAAGUAACGAUGAAUAGGGAUAGUUGGGGGGGGGCAUUCGCACGUAACUGUCAGAGGUGAAAUUCUUGGAUGUGUUAAAGACGGACGACUGCGAAAGCAUUUGCCAAGGAUGUGUUCAUUGAUCACGAACGGACGUUAGGGGAUCGAAGACGAUUUAGGGGAUCGAAGCAUUGCCCUUAGAUGUUCUGGGCUGCACGCGCGCUACACUGAUGCGCUCAACGAGUUUUGCCCUUGCCCGGUAGUGUUGGGUAAUCUUCUCAAAACGCAUCGUGAUGGGGACAGCUUAUUGCAAUUAUUAAUCUGCAACGAGGAAUUCCUAGUAAGUGCGAAUCAUCAGCUCGUGCUGAUUACGUCCCUGCCCUUUGUACACACCGCCCGUCGCUCCUACCGAUUGAGUGGUCCGGUGAAUAAGAAUUCGGACUGCAGCAGCGUCCAGUUCCUGGAUGCUGCAGCGGAAAGUUUAGUAAACCUUCAUCACUUAGAGGAAGGAUAAGUCGUAACAAGGUUUCCGUAGGUG
rnacentral:rRNA from 1 species